rnacentral:lncRNA from 1 species
GGCACUUGCAACUUUAUUGCGCCAGCAAGAACAUGCAUACAGCCCAGUCUAACGUACAGGAUCAAAAAGAGACCUUAUUUCGGCUGGCAAUUACCUUACCCGCUUGUUCAUUAUCUGACUCCUGCACUCCUCCCAAGUGUUCAAUGUUAACCAGAUGGCAAAGUUAACCAGACAGAGGAAAUCCACAUAAUUACUCUAGAUGAAGCCCCCUAACUGCGGAUUAGAAGGAAAAGAGAUGAAGGGUGCUGCACUAAUAAUAACAACCAUUUUCAACCAAGGCAGGAUUCUGGGCCUAGAAUCUUCAGUGACAAAUUACCAGGAGAGGAGGAGGGAAAUGAAGAGCUGGAGGCCUAGGGAGAUGGUGUGAGGAGAGGAGACUGUGCCUUUCCACUUCUUAAUAAUUAAUGUUCUCCUGCUGCUCUGAGUCUGCAUCACCAGUGAUUCAGUUUGAGUCAGACAUCCAACAACAACUGAGCAAAAGAAUCAUCUCAGAUCCAAGCAAUGGUGACGCGCAGAUAGAAGAGACUGAGGCCAACGACCAAAGCAAAGGACAGCAGAACUGACUGACACAGCUCAGAAAAUAUCCAAAGCUCUGUAUGCUCUGGAAAGGAAGACAAGAAAUGCUAAAGACUCUGGAUAUUGCUCUGUUUCUAUAAGGUCCCACCCAUAUACCAUCUCUUCUUUUGGAUUUCCUUUGGCAGUAACCUGAAGUUAUAUAAGUGGCAUGUUCCCAAGUACAAAGGGAGCCCUUCUAUUGCUUCUGCUUACAAAGAGGUGUCAACCUAAGAAAAAGCCAGAACAAGCCAAAGUUCAGGGUUCCCUUGUAUGGAAGUUCUCAGGAGAACAACACUCUCAGAGUCCCACUGUCUCAAAGAAUUCUUAAUGGACAGCUAUACUUGGCCCCAAGGUUUCAACCUCACACUGAAGAAAGUGACAUAAGAAAACACAAGUCCCAGUGCUAUCAGGGGCUAUCUGGAAAAGCUGCUUAAACAGCAAGUGAAAGAAGGCUCUCCCCUACCCCGUUCUAGUUAUAAACAUCACAUCUCUUAACAUACGGCCAAGAUGAUGAAGCUGAUGGAGUACGAUGGUGUUCAAACUUAGAUAAGCUAAUUCAAUAGACAACUAGAAAUGCCAAUGAGUCUAUCACUCACCCUGAAGUUAUUUGAAGGAUCCUUGAGACUCUUUUGGAUUGCUGCUUGGAGAACAUUCCUGUAACUUGUCCCUGCUCCUUGAACUAUAAAAGCAGAAGGGAGGUACUGAGUUAAAACUUACAAAUUAUUAUCAAAUAAAUCUUCAAUAGUGGUUCAGUCCAA